GACGAACGCUGGCGGCGUGCUUAACACAUGCAAGUCGAACGGAAAGGCCCUGCUUUUGUGGGGUGCUCGAGUGGCGAACGGGUGAGUAACACGUGAGUAACCUGCCCUUGACUUUGGGAUAACUUCAGGAAACUGGGGCUAAUACCGGAUAGGAGCUCCUGCUGCAUGGUGGGGGUCGGAAAGUUUCGGCGGUUGGGGAUGGACUCGCGGCUUAUCAGCUUGUUGGUGGGGUAGUGGCUUACCAAGGCUUUGACGGGUAGCCGGCCUGAGAGGGUGACCGGCCACAUUGGGACUGAGAUACGGCCCAGACUCCUACGGGAGGCAGCAGUGGGGAAUAUUGCACAAUAGGCGGAAGCCUGAUGCAGCAACGCCGCGUGCGGGAUGACGGCCUUCGGGUUGUAAACCGCUUUCGCCUGUGACGAAGCGUGAGUGACGGUAAUGGGUGAAGAAGCACCGGCUAACUACGUG
rnacentral:rRNA from 1 species